rnacentral:rRNA from 1 species
UAGGGAAUCUUCCGCAAUGGACGCAAGUCUGACGGAGCAACGCCGCGUGAGUGAAGAAGGAUUUCGGUUCGUAAAACUCUGUUGUUAGAGAAGAACAGCGCAUAGAGUAACUGUUAUGCGUGUGACGGUAUCUAACCAGAAAGCCACGGCUAACUACGUGCCAGCAGCCGCGGUAAUACGUAGGUGGCCAGCGUUGUCCGGAUUUAUUGGGCGUAAAGCGAGCGCAGGCGGUCAAUUAAGUCUGAUGUGAAAGCCCCCGGCUCAACCGGGGAGGGUCAUUGGAAACUGGUUGACUUGAGUGCAGAAGAGGAGAGUGGAAUUCCAUGUGUAGCGGUGAAAUGCGUAGAUAUAUGGAGGAACACCAGUGGCGAAGGCGACUCUCGGGUCUGUAACUGACGCUGAGGCUCGAAAGCGUGGGUAGCAAACAGG